GAUGAACGCUAGCGACAGGCUUAACACAUGCAGGUCGAGGGGCAGCAUAGAAGUAGCAAUACUUUGGUGGCGACCGGCGCACGGGUGAGUAACGCGUAUGCAACCUGCCCCCAACUAAGGAAUAACCUUGCGAAAGUAAGACUAAUACCUUAUAAUUUCCUCAGAUGACAUCUGACGAGGAAUAAAGAUUUAUCGGUUGUGGAUGGGGAUGCGUCUGAUUAGCUUGUUGGCGGGGUAACGGCCCACCAAGGCAACGAUCAGUAGGGGUUCUGGAAGGAAGGUCCCCACCAGUGGAACUGAGACAGGGUCCAAACUCCUACGGGAGGCAGCAGUGAGGAAUAUUGGUCAAUGUGCGGAAGCCUGAACCAGCCAAGUAGCGUGCAGGAUGACGGCCCUAUGGGUUGUAAACUGCUUUUAUACAGGAAUAAAGUUAGCCACGUGUGGUUAUUUGUAGGUACUGUAUGAAUAAGGACCGGCUAAUUCCGUGCCAGCCGCCGCGGUAA
rnacentral:rRNA from 1 species